rnacentral:lncRNA from 1 species
UCCUCCACGGCGACCCGCUCGCCGCCGCCGCGCCGUCCCCCAUCGUCGCCGCCGUCUCCGCGGGGCGGCGACCGCAGCGAUGUUUCCCACGAGCAGCGAAACCCACGAGGUUAGCCCUUGAUCUGAGCCCCCGCGGCUAGGAAGAAAUCCCGCAUCACGUAGUAUAAUACUAUUUACGCAUUCGAUUUACUAACAGAUUUCAGUUUACUUCCAAUCCACUUCAGUUUCUUCCCAAUUUUCUACUUUUUGGAGCAUACACUGCAUUAACUGAAUCUCGUUGGCAGAUCACGAGCUGGCCAAUCAGGUUUUCCUUUGGGGUGUUCAUCUUGCUGGGGGCUGGAGACUGUGGAGCCACUGAGUAGGCCUUGCUGUAGUGAGAAUACUUGAGGUCACUACACAGUUUUAGAGAUGUCUAUAGCAAAUUACUAGCAAUUAAGAAGUCACAGAUGUUGAUUGCUUGCUCUGCUCUAUGACCCAUUGUUCAUAUCUGCAAUCCAGCGCGCGUUUUGAUUGAAUUGAUAAUACUGUAACUGAUUUAGCCACAAAAAAAAAAAUCUGGAUACAGCUAUCUAAUCAUACACCACACCUACUCCAAAGGACACACCAAACGCAAUCGCAAGCUUUGUAAAAAUCUGGAUACAACUAUCUGAUCAUAUAC